rnacentral:rRNA from 1 species
AGAGUUUGAUCCUGGCUCAGGAUGAACGCUAGCGGCAGGCUUAACACAUGCAAGUCGAGGGGCAGCACGGGUAGCAAUACUUGGUGGCGACCGGCGCAAGGGUGCGUAACGCGUGAGCAACAUGCCCGUAUCAGGGGGAUAAUCCAGGGAAACUUGGUCUAAUACCCCAUAGUAAGUUUCAGAGGCAUCUUUGAGAUUUUAAAGCUUUGGUGGAUACGGAUUGGCUCGCGUGACAUUAGCUAGAUGGUAAGGUAACGGCUUACCAUGGCUACGAUGUCUAGGGGUUCUGAGAGGAAGGUCCCCCACACUGGAACUGAGACACGGUCCAGACUCCUACGGGAGGCAGCAGUGAGGAAUAUUGGACAAUGGAUGGAAAUCUGAUCCAGCCAUGCCGCGUGCAGGAAGACGGCCCUAUGGGUUGUAAACUGCUUUUGUAUGGGAGCAAUAAGAACUACGUGUAGUUUGACGAGAGUACCAUACGAAUAAGCACCGGCUAACUCCGUGCCAGCAGCCGCGGUAAUACGGAGGGUGCAAGCGUUAUCCGGAUUUAUUGGGUUUAAAGGGUGCGUAGGCGGUUUGAUAAGUCAGCGGUGAAAUAUUUCAGCUUAACUGGAAGGGUGCCGUUGAUACUGUCAGGCUUGAAUUUAGUUGCUGUGGGUGGAAUGUGUGGUGUAGCGGUGAAAUGCAUAGAUAUCACACA